ensembl:lncRNA
AAGAACCCGGGAAACAGCGAAACUGACGUUUGUGCUGUUAGGCGCGCGCCUAGGCGCGCGCGGCGGGAAAAGAAACCUGGAGAAGGCUGGGCUACGUGUGAGCCACUGUUAACAGUGGGACAAACCCCAGCUGCCUCCUCUGCUCAUUGCACUUGUGCUACAGUUGUUCUUAUGUCGCUUCAGUCGUAUCCGACUCUGUGAGACCCCAUAGACGGCAGCCCACCAGGCUCCCCUGUCCCUGGGAUUCUCCAGGCGAGAACACUGGAGUGGGUUGCCAUUUCCUUCUGCAAGGCAUGGAAGUGAAAAGUGAAAGUGAAGUCACUCAGUCGUGUCCGACUCUUCACGACCCCAUGCACUGCAGCCUACCAGGCUCCUCCGCCCAUGGGAUUUUCCAG